rnacentral:rRNA from 1 species
UGAGGAAUAUUGGGCAAUGCCCGCAAGAGUGACCCAGCAACGCCGCGUGGAGGAUGAAUGUCGUAAGAUUGUAAACUCCUGUUAGAGGGGAAGAAUAGUACCGGUUGGACCGGUAUAUGACUGUACCCUCAGAGAAAGCCCCGGCUAACUACGUGCCAGCAGCCGCGGUAAUACGUAGGGGGCAAGCGUUGUCCGGAUUUACUGGGUGUAAAGGGCGCGCAGGCGGGAUAAAAAGUCAGUGGUGAAAUCCUACAGCUUAACUGUAGAACUGCCUUUGAUACUUUUAUUCUUGAGUUCGGGAGAGAGAGACGGAAUUCCAGGUGUAGUGGUGAAAUACGUAGAUAUCCGGAGGAACACCAGUGGCGAAAGCGGCUUCCUGGACUGUAACUGACGCUCAGACGCGAAAGCUAGGGUAGCAAACG